GCUCCGGACGUUGCUUGGAUUGGAACAGGGUCAACAGCCGGAGCUCAGCUGCUGACAAAAGCCAAGCCCUCUUUCAGGUCAGUUAUCAUGUACAGUGUCCCUCAGUUGGAAUUUGUCUGAUGUUUCCUCGUGAUUAUAUUCAGGUUUGAAACCUGAGGUUCAGUGAGCCCUCGAGAGCUGGGCCUUGAACACAGCCCCUCUCCCACACAACAGAGGUAAGGGCACGAUAUACUUCUCUUUCUGCCAAGUGUGUUAAGGGGGCCUGCCCGCUAGCAUCAUAGCUGACCUGGUAGUUUGCUGGUGUUUUUAGAUGUGAGAGGCCCAAGGGCUGCAGAGAAGAGCCUUGGACCCUGAACCUAGUGAGAAUGUGGCCCAGGAUCUCAGGAAGGUCGUCUCUCAACCUUCUUAUUUGUAAAAAUAGUAGGAAAUCAUCCAUCCUGUGGUUAUGUAAAAGAAUAUCUUUAUUCUUAAGAAGCUUAUAUAUAUAUGCCUCACCUCUGCAAAUUCUGAAUUAUUUUUACAAGGACAAUUUUAUAGUCUUUUUUAACUGAACAUCCGUUUUAUACCCUGUUGUACAUCUGGUACACAUUCCUUGUAAGUGUAAUUUUAAUGACUUCCAGCAUUCCACUUUGUGUCAUAAUUUCUAUUCUCCUGUUGAUGGACACUCAAAAGGAAGAAGGGGAUUGAUAUUAACUCAGCAUGAACUUGGUACCAGGUGCUAUCCACCACAGGCUUAGCAUUAUCUUAUUUAACCCUCACGAUCCUACUAAGAUAAAUAUUUUUACCCAUGAUGUGUGGAUGAGGAGCUUAUACUAAGCCAACCUCAUUCAACUAGGGAAGAUCCAGGAUACAAUUCCAGGCUCUGACUCCUCAGCCCACGCUGUGUCUCUGCUCGUGCUGUCCCUCAGUUUUCUUCAUACCUAAAAGCUUUCUUUUUAUCCUCCUCUAACUUCGCAGCUUUUUUUUUUUUUUUCACAGCUCUUUUUCUGUACUGCAGUUUCUGUUAUAUUGUUAUUAAUUCCAUGUCUCAACUCUGAGGUUGGACUAUGGACUCUUUAAGGAUAGGUUAACAGCAUGUUCAUCUCUGGAAGAGACUCACCUCAACAAGCUUAGCCCAGUGCCUUGCAUAUAGCAGAAGCUCCCAUCACUUAUUCUUUCAACAAAUCCUGUAUCUAUGGAGGGCCUAGUAUGCCCCAGGCAGUGUUCUAGAUUCUUGGGACAUGUCAGCAAUUCAGUAUACAGCGAAGCUUACAUUCUGGGGGAGGGCGAUGUAUGAUAAAGAAUGUAAGGGAGUUCCCGUUGUGGCGCAGUGGUUAACGAAUCCGACUAGGAACCAUGAGGUUGCGGGUUCG
rnacentral:lncRNA from 1 species